CUAAGCCAUGCGAGUCAUUGUAGCAAUACAAGGCAGACGGCUCAGUAACGCGUAGUCAACCUACCCUAUGGACGGGAAUAAACUCGGGAAACUGAGUAUAAUGCCCGAUAGAACAUUAUGCCUGGAAUGGUUUAUGUUUCAAAUGAUUUAUCGCCGUAGGAUGGGACUGCGGCCUAUCAGUUUGUUGGUGAGGUAAUGGCCCACCAAGACUAUUACAGGUACGGGCUCUGAGAGGAGUGGCCCGGAGAUGGGUACUGAGACACGGACCCAGGCCCUAUGGGGCGCAGCAGGCGAGAAAACUUUGCAAUGUGCGAAAGCACGACAAGGUUAAUCCGAGUGAUUUGUGCUAAACGAAUCUUUUGCUAGUCCUAGAAACACUAGUGAAUAAGGGGUGGGCAAGUUCUGGUGUCAGCCGCCGCGGUAAAACCAGCACCUCAAGUGGUCAGGAUGAUUAUUGGGCCUAAAGCAUCCGUAGCCGGCUCUGUAAGUUUUCGGUUAAAUCUGUACGCUCAACGUACAGGCUGCCGGGAAUACUGCAGAGCUAGGGAGUGGGAGAGGUAGACGGUACUCGGUAGGAAGGGGUAAAAUCCUUUGAUCUAUUGAUGACCACCUGUGGCGAAGGCGGUCUACCAGAACACGUCCGACGGUGAGGGAUGAAAGCUGGGGGAGCAAACCGGAUUAGAUACCCGGGUAGUCCCAGCUGUAAACUAUGCAAACUCAGUGAUGCAUUGGCUUGUGGCCAAUGCAGUGCUGCAGGGAAGCCGUUAAGUUUGCCGCCUGGGAAGUACGUACGCAAGUAUGAAACUUAAAGGAAUUGGCGGGGGAGCACCACAAGGGGUGAAGCCUGCGGUUCAAUUGGAGUCAACGCCAGAAAUCUUACCCGGAGAGACAGCAGAAUGAAGGUCAAGCUGAAGACUUUACCAGACAAGCUGAGAGGAGGUGCAUGGCC
rnacentral:rRNA from 1 species